AGGAAAGCAGGGGAUCGCAAGACCUUGCGCUCUUGGAGCGGCCGAUGUCUGAUUAGCUAGUUGGUGAGGUAAAGGCUUACCAAGGCGGCGAUCAGUAGCUGGUCUGAGAGGACGACCAGCCACACUGGGACUGAGACACGGCCCAGACUCCUACGGGAGGCAGCAGUGGGGAAUUUUGGACAAUGGGGGAAACCCUGAUCCAGCCAUGCCGCGUGAGUGAAGAAGGCCUUCGGGUUGUAAAGCUCUUUCAGCCGGAACGAAACGGUCACGGCUAAUACCUGUGAUCACUGACGGUACCGGAAGAAGAAGCACCGGCUAACUACGUGCCAGCAGCCGCGGUAAUACGUAGGGUGCAAGCGUUAAUCGGAAUUACUGGGCGUAAAGCGUGCGCAGGCGGUUUUGUAAGUCAGAUGUGAAAUCCCCGGGCUUAACCUGGGAACUGCGUUUGAAACUACAAAGCU
rnacentral:rRNA from 1 species